AGCUUUGCGCAGUAGCAGUAUCGUAGCCAAUGAGGUUUAUCCAAGGCGCGAUUAUUGCUAAUUGAAACAAUGAAAGAUCUAAGAAAUGGAGAAAAAAAAGAACUUGACAUAUCAUUAUAGCAUGUUAUUUGGUUUUGUGUACACCUCUGUCAUUGGU
rnacentral:snRNA from 1 species